rnacentral:rRNA from 1 species
CUGCUGCCUCCCGUAGGAGUUUGGGCCGNGUCUCAGUCCCAAUGUGGCCGAUCAACCUCUCAGUUCGGCUACGCAUCAUUGCCUUGGUAAGCCUUUACCCCACCAACUAGCUAAUGCGCCGCGGGCCCAUCCAAAAGCGGUAGCAUAGCCACCUUUUACAUAGU